rnacentral:sRNA from 1 species
ACUUAACAAGCUUUUAAUUAUGGAAGGUGAGUUUCAAUUGUAAAAGCAAGCUAUAUUAAAUAUAGAUCCUUGAUCAGUUGUGUAGCCUUAUAAAUGAUUUUUAGAAGUUU